ACGGCCAUACCACAUUGAAAACACCGGUUCUCGUCCGAUCACCGAAGAUAAGCAAUGUCGGGCCCCGUCAGUACUUGGGAGGGUGACCACACUGGGAACACCUGGUGUAGCUGUAGGCU
rnacentral:rRNA from 1 species